rnacentral:rRNA from 1 species
GAAACCCGGUGAUCUAGCCAUGGGCAGGUUGAAGGUUGGGUAACACUAACUGGAGGACCGAACCGACUAAUGUUGAAAAAUUAGCGGAUGACUUGUGGCUGGGGGUGAAAGGCCAAUCAAACCGGGAGAUAGCUGGUUCUCCCCGAAAGCUAUUUAGGUAGCGCCUCGUGAAUUCAUCUCCGGGGGUAGAGCACUGUUUCGGCAAGGGGGUCAUCCCGACUUACCAACCCGAUGCAAACUGCGAAUACCGGAGAAUGUUAUCACGGGAGACACACGGCGGGUGCUAACGUCCGUCGUGAAGAGGGAAACAACCCAGACCGCCAGCUAAGGUCCCAAAGUCAUGGUUAAGUGGGAAACGAUGUGGGAAGGCCCAGACAGCCAGGAUGUUGGCUUAGAAGCAGCCAUCAUUUAAAGAAAGCGUAAUAGCUCACUGGUCGAGUCGGCCUGCGCGGAAGAUGUAACGGGGCUAAACCAUGCACCGAAGCUGCGGCAGCGACACUAUGUGUUGUUGGGUAGGGGAGCGUUCUGUAAGCCUGUGAAGGUGGCCUGUGAGGGUUGCUGGAGGUAUCAGAAGUGCGAAUGCUGACAUAAGUAACGAUAAAGCGGGUGAAAAGCCCGCUCGCCGGAAGACCAAGGGUUCCUGUCCAACGUUAAUCGGGGCAGGGUGAGUCGACCCCUAAGGCGAGGCCGAAAGGCGUAGUCGAUGGGAAACAGGUUAAUAUUCCUGUACUUGGUGUUACUGCGAAGGGGGGACGGAGAAGGCUAUGUUGGCCGGGCGACGGUUGUCCCGGUUUAAGCGUGUAGGCUGGUUUUCCAGGCAAAUCCGGAAAACCAAGGCUGAGGCGUGAUGACGAGGCACUACGGUGCUGAAGCGACAAAUGCCCUGCUUCCAGGAAAAGCCUCUAAGCAUCAGGUAACAUCAAAUCGUACCCCAAACCGACACAGGUGGUCAGGUAGAGAAUACCAAGGCGCUUGAGAGAACUCGGGUGAAGGAACUAGGCAAAAUGGUGCCGUAACUUCGGGAGAAGGCACGCUGAUAUGUAGGUGAAGCGACUUGCUCGUGGAGCUGAAAUCAGUCGAAGAUACCAGCUGGCUGCAACUGUUUAUUAAAAACACAGCACUGUGCAAACACGAAAGUGGACGUAUACGGUGUGACGCCUGCCCGGUGCCGGAAGGUUAAUUGAUGGGGUUAGCGGUAACGCGAAGCUCUUGAUCGAAGCCCCGGUAAACGGCGGCCGUAACUAUAACGGUCCUAAGGUAGCGAAAUUCCUUGUCGGGUAAGUUCCGACCUGCACGAAUGGCGUAAUGAUGGCCAGGCUGUCUCCACCCGAGACUCAGUGAAAUUGAACUCGCUGUGAAGAUGCAGUGUACCCGCGGCAAGACGGAAAGACCCCGUGAACCUUUACUAUAGCUUGACACUGAACAUUGAGCCUUGAUGUGUAGGAUAGGUGGGAGGCUUUGAAGUGUGGACGCCAGUCUGCAUGGAGCCGACCUUGAAAUACCACCCUUUAAUGUUUGAUGUUCUAACGUUGGCCCGUAAUCCGGGUUGCGGACAGUGUCUGGUGGGUAGUUUGACUGGGGCGGUCUCCUCCUAAAGAGUAACGGAGGAGCACGAAGGUUGGCUAAUCCUGGUCGGACAUCAGGAGGUUAGUGCAAUGGCAUAAGCCAGCUUGACUGCGAGCGUGACGGCGCGAGCAGGUGCGAAAGCAGGUCAUAGUGAUCCGGUGGUUCUGAAUGGAAGGGCCAUCGCUCAACGGAUAAAAGGUACUCCGGGGAUAACAGGCUGAUACCGCCCAAGAGUUCAUAUCGACGGCGGUGUUUGGCACCUCGAUGUCGGCUCAUCACAUCCUGGGGCUGAAGUAGGUCCCAAGGGUAUGGCUGUUCGCCAUUUAAAGUGGUACGCGAGCUGGGUUUAGAACGUCGUGAGACAGUUCGGUCCCUAUCUGCCGUGGGCGCUGGAGAACUGAGGGGGGCUGCUCCUAGUACGAGAGGACCGGAGUGGACGCAUCACUGGUGUUCGGGUUGUCAUGCCAAUGGCACUGCCCGGUAGCUAAAUGCGGAAGAGAUAAGUGCUGAAAGCAUCUAAGCACGAAACUUGCCCCGAGAUGAGUUCUCCCUGAGACUUAGAGUCUCCUGAAGGAACGUUGAAGACGACGACGUUGAUAGGCCGGGUGUGUAAGCGCAGCGAUGCGUUGAGCUAACCGGUACUAAUGAACCGUGAGGCUUAACCUUACAACGCCGAAG